GAUGAACGCUGGCGGCGUGCCUAAUACAUGCAAGUCGAGCGAAGCGGGGACGGGUGAGUAACACGUGGAUAACCUCCUAUAAGACUGGGAUAACUUCGGGAAACCUGAGCUAAACCGGAUACUUAUAUAUGUAUCCUCGCUGCAUUAGCUAGGGGGGAAGGUAACGGCUUACCAAGGCAACGAUGCAUAGCCGACCUGAGAGGGUGGGGAGAAAAGCUGGAACUGAGACACGGUCCAGGGGGAGAAGGGAGGAAGCGGGAGGGGGGGGGGGGAACGUGGCGAAAGCCUGAGGCACCAACGCCGCGUGAGUGAUGAGGGGCGUGGGAUAGGACACCUCGGUUAUUAGGGAAGCGGUACCUAAUCAGAAAGCCACGGCUAACUACGUGCCAGCAGCCGCGGUAAUAC
rnacentral:rRNA from 1 species